CGAACGCUGGCGGCGUGCUUAACACAUGCAAGUCGAACGGAAAGGCCUGCUUUCCCUUGUGGAUUGCGGGUACUCGAGUGGCGAACGGGUGAGUAACACGUGAGUGAUCUGCCCCCAACUUGGGUAUAAGCCCGGGAAACUGGGUCUAAUUCCCGAUAGGACUGCAGGGUGGUGCCUGUGGUGGAAAACGAUUUUCUAGUGGUUGGGGAUGAGCUCGCGGCCUAUCAGCUUGUUGGUGGGGUAAUGGCCUACCAAGGCGGCGACGGGUAGCCGGCCUGAGAGGGUGGACGGCCACAUUGGGACUGGGAUACGGCCCAGACUCCUACGGGAGGCAGCAGUGGGGAAUAUUGCACAAUGGGCGGAAGCCUGAUGCAGCGACGCCGCGUGGGGGAUGACGGCCUUCGGGUUGUAAACUCCUUUCGACCGCGAGGAAGCCACCUGGUUGGAAGGGUGGUGACGGUAGUGGUAGAAGAAGCACCGGCUAACUACGUG
rnacentral:rRNA from 1 species